AACCCGUUAGCGCAGUUGGUAGAGCAGGGGACUUUUAAUCCCAAGGUCAUCGGUUCGAGUCCGAUACGGGUUAC
rnacentral:tRNA from 1 species